UACGUAGGGGGCAAGCGUUGUCCGGAAUUAUUGGGCGUAAAGCGCGCGCAGGCGGUGAUUUAAGUUUGGUGUUUAAGGCCGGGGCUCAACCCCGGUUCGCACUGAAAACUGGGUCGCUGGAGUGCGGGAGAGGAAAGUGGAAUUCCACGUGUAGCGGUGAAAUGCGUAGAGAUGUGGAGGAACACCAGUGGCGAAGGCGGGUCUCUGGGCCGAUACUGACGCUGAGGAGCGAAAGCGUGGGGAGCGAACAGG
rnacentral:rRNA from 1 species